GUGCUUUUUAUGUGCCAUCAGCAUGGGAACCAAUCCAUGGCCCUGACAACGGUCAUGCUCAGAUGUGCCUUUAACCUUCUACUGGCACGAGUGCCUAUCAGGCGGUACUUUCAUCGGCCAUGUCAGCGAUUUUGAUUUGUUUACACUUGCCUCAGUAGGUCUUCACAAGCAAAGUUCAUUGUCCAAUGAAU